CAGAAACUUCACGAGAGUGAGGCUGGCUUUAGGGGUGAGAAUGUCCGUCUGAUAGAAAGACUGGCCAUAUGGUGAAUACCCAGAAGGUAUCACGGUCUUAUAGAAGAAAGCCACGGCUAACUCCGUGCCAGCAGCCGGGGUUAUUCGGAUGGUGCGAGCGUUGAUCGGUUUCACUGGGAUUAAAGAGCCCACAGGCGGAUCAGCAAGUUAAACGUGAAAUCUGGGGUCUUAACCCCGAAUCUGGAUUUUCAACUGUUAGUCUAGAAUCUCAGAGAGGGCAGGGGAAUUUCUAGUGUAGGGGUGAAAUCCGUAGAGAUAUGAAGGAACCCCGGAGGCGAAGGCGCCUUCCGGGGCGAAUAUGGGCGGAGAGGCGAGAAAGCGUGGGGAGCAUACAGCAUUACAUAACCGGGUAGUCCGAGCCUUAAACGAUGAGUAGCCUUUUAAAGGAAUGACCCCAU
rnacentral:rRNA from 1 species